CCGGAGAAGGAGGAAUGGGACGGGGACCGAGCAGGAUGGGUCCCCAGGAGGGGGAAGGGGACGGGGACCGAGCAGGAGGGGUCCCCAGGACGGGGAGGGGGGACGGGGACCGAGCAGGAUGGGUCCCCAGGGAGGAGGAUGGGGAUGGGGACCGAGCAGGAGGGGUCCCCAGGAGGGGGCAGGGGACGGGGACCGAGCAGGAGGGGUCCCCAGGACGGGGAGGGGACGGGGACCGAGCAGGAGGGGUCCCCAGGACGGGGAUGGGACGGGGACCGAGCAGGAGGGGUCCCCAGGAGGGGGCAGGGGACGGGGACUGAGCAGGAGGGGUC